rnacentral:rRNA from 1 species
GCGAUCAUACCAGCACUAAUGCACCGGAUCCCAUCAGAACUCCGAGGUUAAGCGUGCUUGGGCGAGAGCAGUACUAGGAUGGGUGACCCCCUGGGAAGUCCUCGUGUUGCACCU